CCUACGGGAGGCAGCAGUGAGGAAUAUUGGUCAAUGGGCGCGAGCCUGAACCAGCCAAGUCGCGUGAGGGAUGAAGGUUCUAUGGAUCGUAAACCUCUUUUAUAAGGGAAUAAAGUGUGGGACUUGUCCCAGUUUGUAUGUACCUUAUGAAUAAGGAUCGGCUAACUCCGUGCCAGCAGCCGCGGUAAUACGGAGGAUCCGAGCGUUAUCCGGAUUUAUUGGGGUUAACGGGUGCGUAGGCGGCCUGUUAAGUCAGCGGUGAAAGUCUGUGGCUCAACCAUAGACUUGCCGUUGAAACUGGGGGUCUUGAGGAUGUUUGAGGCAGGCGGAAUGCGUGGUGUAGCGGUGAAAUGCUUAGAUAUCACGCAGAACCCCGAUUGCGAAGGCAGCAUACCGGGCCAUGACUGACGCUGAUGCACGAAAGCGUGGGGAUCAAACAGGAUUAGAUACCCGAGUAGUC
rnacentral:rRNA from 1 species